GACUCAUUAACAGUAUUCCUUUCCCUCUCAAAGGUCAGUUGUCUCACCCGCAGGGACAGCAGAGACACCCGCAUGUACCUGUGAAUCGGGGAUUGGGGGUCCCGGUCCGCCGGGUUCCUCAAGAGUCUGCACCCGGGACAAGAGGGGCAAGUUCGUACUGCGAGGUCUGGGCCCUGGUGGCUUUUCAGGAUGGUUUUCCACAAAAGAAAUCUCGCCUGUUUUGAGUUCUGACUCACGAGUCAGCUCAAACAUGAGUCAGACUCCGGUUUCCUGAGAGCUGGAAUUAUCCGCUCCGCCCACCCUGAUGGGAAGGGCCCGCCGUGCCUGAUUCGCCACCAAGCGGCUCAAAUCUGCAGAAUUUCUUUGCUCUUCAGGGCGAACGAGGCGCGGCUGUGAGUGGGUUUUAGCUGAGAGAGACUGCAGAGUGUUCCACGCUCCUUGAGAGGAGUGUGAGUGUGGAUGUAUGUACGUGCACGUGUGUGUAAUCGCUUUAAUAACCAGGUCUUUAAAAAUAUAAAAUCCAAAGGGCGCGCGGCGGGGUGGGGGUGUGGGUGGGAAGGGACAGACUGAGAUUUCAAAAUUUGUAGAUACUGACAGGCAUAUGCAGAAUAGAUGAACAAGAUUAUACUGUAUAGCACAGGGAAAUAUAUACAAGAUCUUGUGGUAGCUCACAGCGAAAAUAAAUGUGACAAUGAAUAUAUGUAUGUUCAUGUAGAACUGAAAAAUUGUGCUCUACACUGGAAUUUGACACAUUGUAAAAUGACUAUAACUCAAUAAAAAAUGUUAAAAAGUAAAAAUUAAAAAUAUAUAAAAUCCUUUGGUGAGAAGAAGACAUAUAAAUGGCCAAUAGGCACACGUGAAAAUGCUCAGUAUCACCAAUUAUCAGAGAAAUGCAAAGCAAAACUACAAUGAGGUAUCACCUCACACCAGUCAGAAUGGCCACCAUUCAAAAGUCCACAAAAGAUAAACGCUGGAGAGGCUGUGGA